rnacentral:rRNA from 1 species
GUUGUAUGGUUAAGUGACUAAGCGUACACGGUGGAUGCCUGGGCAGUCAGAGGCGAUGAAGGACGUACUAACUUGCGAUAAGCGCAGAUAAGGCAGUAAGAGCCGUUUGAGUCUGCGAUUUCCGAAUGGGGAAACCCAACUGCAUAAGCAGUUACUGUUAACUGAAUACAUAGGUUAACAGAGCAAACCGGGGGAACUGAAACAUCUAAGUACCCCGAGGAGAAGAAAUCAACCGAGAUUCCGGUAGUAGCGGCGAGCGAACCUGGAUUAGCCCUUAAGCACUCGGUGAAGUAGGUGAACAAGCUGGAAAGCUUGGCGAUACAGGGUGAUAGCCCCGUAACCGACGCUUCAUCGAGCGUGAAAUCGAGUAGGGCGGGACACGUGAUAUCCUGUCUGAAUAUGGGGGGACCAUCCUCCAAGGCUAAAUACUCCUGACUGACCGAUAGUGAACCAGUACCGUGAGGGAAAGGCGAAAAGAACCCCUGUGAGGGGAGUGAAAUAGAACCUGAAACCGUGUACGUACAAGCAGUAGGAGCACCUUCGUGGUGUGACUGCGUACCUUUUGUAUAAUGGGUCAGCGACUUAUAUUCAGUGGCAAGGUUAACCGUAUAGGGGAGCCGUAGCGAAAGCGAGUCUUAACUGGGCGCUCAGUCUCUGGAUAUAGACCCGAAACCGGGUGAUCUAGCCAUGGGCAGGUUGAAGGUUGAGUAACAUCAACUGGAGGACCGAACCGACUAAUGUUGAAAAAUUAGCGGAUGACUUGUGGCUAGGGGUGAAAGGCCAAUCAAACUCGGAGAUAGCUGGUUCUCCCCGAAAGCUAUUUAGGUAGCGCCUCGGACGAAUACUACUGGGGGUAGAGCACUGUUAAGGCUAGGGGGUCAUCCCGACUUACCAACCCUUUGCAAACUCCGAAUACCAGUAAGUACUAUCCGGGAGACACACGGCGGGUGCUAACGUCCGUCGUGGAGAGGGAAACAACCCAGACCGCCAGCUAAGGUCCCAAAGUAUUGCUAAGUGGGAAACGAUGUGGGAAGGCUCAGACAGCUAGGAUGUUGGCUUAGAAGCAGCCAUCAUUUAAAGAAAGCGUAAUAGCUCACUAGUCGAGUCGGCCUGCGCGGAAGAUGUAACGGGGCUAAGCAAUACACCGAAGCUGCGGCAAUAUCUUUUAGAUAUUGGGUAGGGGAGCGUUCUGUAAGCCGUUGAAGGUGAAUCGUAAGGUUUGCUGGAGGUAUCAGAAGUGCGAAUGCUGACAUGAGUAACGACAAAGGGGGUGAAAAACCUCCUCGCCGGAAGACCAAGGGUUCCUGUCCAACGUUAAUCGGGGCAGGGUGAGUCGACCCCUAAGGUGAGGCCGAAAGGCGUAAUCGAUGGGAAACGGGUUAAUAUUCCCGUACUUCUGACUAUUGCGAUGGGGGGACGGAGAAGGCUAGGUGGGCCAGGCGACGGUUGUCCUGGUUCAAGUGCGUAGGCUUGAGAGUUAGGUAAAUCCGGCUCUCUCUAAGGCUGAGACACGACGUCGAGCUGCUACGGCAGUGAAGUCAUUGAUGCCAUGCUUCCAGGAAAAGCCUCUAAGCUUCAGAUAGUCAGGAAUCGUACCCCAAACCGACACAGGUGGUCGGGUAGAGAAUACCAAGGCGCUUGAGAGAACUCGGGUGAAGG